GACGAACGCUGGCGGCGUGCUUAACACAUGCAAGUCGAGCGGUAAGGCCCUUCGGGGUACACGAGCGGCGAACGGGUGAGUAACACGUGGGUGACCUGCCCUCAGCUUCGGGAUAAGCCUGGGAAACCGGGUCUAAUACCGGAUAUGACUACGGGAUGCAUGUCCUGUGGUGGAAAGUUUUUUCGGCUGGGGAUGGGCCCGCGGCCUGUCAGCUUGUUGGGGGGGUGAUGGCCUACCAAGGCGGUGACGGGUAGCCGGCCUGGGAGGGCGACCGGCCACACUGGGACUGGGACACGGCCCAGACUCCUACGGGAGGCAGCAGUGGGGAAUAUUGCUCAAUGGGCGGAAGCCUGACGCAGCGACGCCGCGUGGGGGAUGACGGCCUUCGGGUUGUAAACCUCUUUCGCCAGGGACGAAGCUUUUGUGACGGUACCUGGAGAAGAAGCACCGGCCAACUACGUGCCAGCAGCCGCCGUAAGAC
rnacentral:rRNA from 1 species